UACGUAGGGCGCAAGCGUUAUCCGGAAUUAUUGGGCGUAAAGAGCUCGUAGGCGGUUUGUCGCGUCUGCCGUGAAAGUCCGGGGCUCAACUCCGGAUCUGCGGUGGGUACGGGCAGACUAGAGUGAUGUAGGGGAGACUGAAAUUCCUGGUGUAGCGGUGAAAUGCGCAGAUAUCAGGAGGAACACCGGUGGCGAAGGCGGUUCUCUGGGCAUGAUCUGACGCUGAGGAGCGAAAGUGUGGGGAGCAAACAGG
rnacentral:rRNA from 1 species